AGUCAGGCAGGGCCAGCGCUGUGGCAGGCGGAGCGACGACCCUGGGUCCCUCACCCACGGCUCCCUGUGCUGCGGGCUGGUUGUUAGGGGUGGCCAGGGGCCCGCACGGGCCCUCACUGCCUCCACUCAGCAGCUGUCCUCAGCCGCCCUCUCCUGGCUCCACCCCCCUCCCCCCACCGUCAUCUCAUCAUCCCUGCCUGCUGGGGGUGAAGAGAGCAUCUGGGGAGCCAUCCCCACUCUCUCAUCCCGCUCUGGGCGGGGUGCCCUGGGGGUGGGCAGCCUGCAUGUUUCCAGGGGAGAUUUGGGGGUCAGGAAGAGAGCCGGGUAUCACCAGCCUGGCCUUCUGGCUGUUUCAAGCCUUGCAGGGGUCGGGGGGGCUAUCAAAUAGGACACAGCCCCGUCGGCCAGGCCCUGUGAGGAUCCCCGGAGCUUCACCAUAACCUACAAGUGUAGUAGGUGGCACACUCAUCCCUGUCUCACGAGGAGGUCACGGAGCUACAAAUGGAUGGAGCUUUUGCUCAAGGUCACCCAGCUGCUAAGUGUCAAGGCAGCAACUGGGUCACGCCCUCCAGCCUUUACCAGUGGACAGACAGUGAGUGCUUAAGAAUGCGACGACCCACUAAUGAACGAGCACUGGGGGGGACCAACAGGGCUGCGGAGCAGGGAUGCUGUAUGGGACCCACCUGCCGUGGACACCACAGCACGCUCUCCCAGAGGCUCACUCCGCAGCUAGGACGUAGCCCUCCUUUUCCCAAGCUGUCAUCCGCGUGUGUCUCCAGCAGCAUCCAAGCCCAGCAGAGCUUCCAGGAGUGGCCUUGACAGAGAAAUAGCUGUGUGACUCUGGGCAAGUCACUUUACCUUUCUGGGCCUCACCUCACUCCAGUACUCUUGCCUGGAAAAUCCCAUGGACGGAGGAGCCUGGAAGGCUGCAGUCCAUGGGGUCGAUGAGGGUCGGACACGACUGAGCGACUUCACUUUCACUUUCACUAACACAGGAUUAACAGAAGAAGCCAGUCUGCAGGUGUGGCGAGGACUAAUGCAGAGCUCCUGGCUCCUGGCCCUAGCAGAACGCCCCUUUCCUGCCCAGGCCCUGGAUUUAGGACACCCACUGUGGGCCAGGCCUUGGGGGGUUCGGGGGUACGGCGACAGCUCCCGGAGGCCCUCAUCAUCUGGGGUCCAGUGCCAGAGAGCCAUAGGAAGCAAAUGCCAGCUUGAGCCUGCUCGGCCCAUGGCAUCCUCCUCACCCCACCCCCUCUCCCUGACCUCACAAGGCCUGCCCCUGCACCCCAGCAGCCCCCCUCCUCUCCCAGGAAGGCUCCAGAGCCCCUCUUCCAAACCCGAGGCUCCUGCCUAGACGGACUCUCUCUGUUCUGCAUCCUGGGGUGCUGUGCCCGCAGCCACCUCCUGUCCCAGCCCUCAGGUUCUGCAUCUCACAGAUGCUCCAGGUGGUCCUGAUAGUAGUCCUGGGCCAGCAGAUGAAGGAUUUCAAGCUCACAGGCCCAGCCACUCAUCUUCCAAGUGGAGCCAGGGGUCAUUCUUUCUGUUUGCACCAUCACAGAGAAUCUCCCUCCAGGCUGUGGGCUGACCCUGUUUUACCUGGAGCGGGGGAGAGUGAGGGGCAGACGCUGGGAGUUUGGGGGAUUUGCCCAGGGGCCCAGAGCUUGGAAAGUGCAGCACUUGGGUCAGACCGCUUCUCGCUCAGGGGCUCUCAGUGGGACCUUUCGGGUUCCAGCUCUCCUGUGCCCCUCCUCGGAUCCCCAGCUCCUUGCGGCUCUAUCUGGUGUCCCUUGUUCCUCCCUAAUCAGGGCCAGGCCUCCUUCCUCACUCACUCCGUUGUGCCCUGAGGCCGGAAGUGGGUUUACUGAAGCGCUAAGUGGGGAGCAGGCAAGGCAGGCCCAGAGCCUUCCCCAGAGUCACCCCAACCCCCACACUGUAAGGCACAGCCCUUCUGGUCCUCACUGCCUGCUCUUCAAGCCAACAGUAAGGAUGUCCCGUGCCCUGCCCCACUCUGACCACCCUGGUUCUGCCUUUGCCACAUACUCUCUGUGUGCCUUGGGCAAGUCCCUGCUCAUCGCUAGACCUCAGCUUCCCUACCUAUAGGCGUGGAGAGGGGAUCCAGGUCAGGCCUCCGUGUUGAUGAGCAUCUCCACCUUCACACCUGGCCAGUCCCUGUGCCUGAGACCCACAGAACCCAGCCCAGCCCAAGCUGGCAGGAGAGGAGCCUGCCCUCCUCCCCGGGACACUGCCACCA
ensembl:lncRNA